rnacentral:rRNA from 1 species
GACGAACGCUGGCGGCGUGCUUAACACAUGCAAGUCGAACGGAAAGGCCCUGCUCUUGUGGGGUUCUCGUGUGGCGAACGCGUGAGAGACACGCGAGUAACCCCCCCCUAACAGAGUGAUAUCACCAGGAAACUGCGGAUAUUACCGGAUAUGAGCUCCUGCUCCGUGGUGGGGAUUAGAGAGUGUCGGCGGUUCGGGCUGGAAUCGAGGCUUAUCCGCUUGAUUGGGUGGUAGGUGAGUACGAAGGCUUUGACGGGUAGCCGGCCUGAGAGGGUGACCGGCGACAUUGCGACUGCGAGACGGACCAGAAGCCUACGGGAGGCAGCAGUGGGGAAUAUUGCAGAAUGGGCGGAAGCGUGAUGCAGCAAUGCCGCGUGCGGGAUGACGGCUUUCUGGUUAUAAACCGCUUUGUACUGUGACGAGGCGUUAGUGACGGUAAUGGGUAAAGAAGCACCGGCUAACUACGUG